UGGAAAACUACGUUACUUUCUGCGCCACGUGUUCUAGUAUUAUGUUUUCGGGUAGACAAAUCGCAUUUCGAGUUUACAAUAACGGGUCGCUAAUAUUACGAGUAUAUACGAAAAGUGUUACGAGUACAACUACAAUAUUUUCCAAUAAAACACACAAAGUUGUCAAAGUGAAAAAAUACAAAUAAAAUGAACGGUUUUUUUGAGAAACAUUUGAUAUCUUAAAAAUGUAAAUAUUUCAACAGAAACCUUUGGCUUACUUAACAAAAAUAAAACUUUUUCGUUGACUAAUCAUAUAUCAUAAUAUACCUGUGGCA